CUGAAGGAGAUUAAAGACAUCUCAUUUUACUCUGCCACUACAGAUAUGUGGUCAAGCUCAAAUAUGACCCCAUACAUGAGCUUUACAAUACAUUACAUUAACUGGACGCUGCAAUCAAAAUGUUUAGAGACCAGAUUUGUGCCGGAGAACCAUACUGCUGAUGUCCUUACAGAAGCCCUUCAGUCUGCUUUAGCAGCCUGGGGUUUGGAUGAACAUAAGAAGGCCUGUAUAACCACAGACAAUGGUCAUAAUAUUGUGGCAGCUGUACACAGUCUUGGCUGGCCAUGGCUCAAUUGCUUUGGCCACAACCUCCAUUUGGCCGUUUGUCAUGGUUUGGACAGUGACAAGGAUCGCACCGCACAUGCCAUGGGAGUCUGCAGAAAUCUGGUCAAGACCUUCAAUUUAAGCUGGCUAAAGAAGAAAGACCUGAGGAAGGCACAGACUGAAGCCAGUCUACCUCAACACGGUCUAGUACUGGAUGUUGCUACAAGAUGGGGCAGCAAGCAAAAGAUGAUAGACAGGGUGCUAGAGCAACUGCCAACCAUAAGACGAGUCUUGGUUGAAGACCGGAAGCAUGGCCAUCUCAACCCAACCUGACAGGAUGUGUCUGUGUUAGAAUCCAUUAAUGCAGCAAUGAAGCCAGUGGCUGAUUUCACAAACGUUCUCUCAGGGGAAAAAUAUGCCACUGUGUCCUCAGUAAAGCCUGUGUUGGAACUUCUCAAAGGUGAACUGUUAUCUCCAGACCCCAGCGACACUGAACUUACAGCAAAGAUAAAGGAAAACGUGCAGAGUACUGACAGAGAAAUACAGCCCUCCUGAAAUCCAAGACCUCCUGAGAAAAGCCACCAUCUUGGAUCCGAGGUAUCGUGGUAGCAUGAAGGGUGAAGAGGUCUUGGAUGAUGUCAAACAUCAGCUUGUGCAAGAGCUACUUGACAUGAAAGAAGAGGGACGAAGUGAAGAAAGUGCCAGUAGUGAAAACGAUGGAGAUGGUGGUUCUGAACAUGCAGCAUCCCAGAAGAAAAGGCUGAGUGACCUUCUUCAGAACAGAAGAGCGAAACUCACAAGUCUUCAGACGCAGACAGUAUCAGUACCGAAAAGAGUGCAGGCUGAUGCAGAGCUGACCAAAUUCAUCCAGGAAGAAGUUGUGGAUGCAACAUCUGAUCCUCUGAUGUGGUGGCGUGACAAUCACAGAAGAUUUCCUCUUAUAGGCAA